rnacentral:lncRNA from 1 species
ACCUGAAACCCUAAAACUCAACUCUAAACCCUAAACCAUCAAUCCUAAACCCUUUUUUUUGAAAUACGAACCCUAAACCCUAAACCAUCAAUCCUAAACCCUAUUUGUUUUUGAAAUACGAACCCUAAACCCUGAAACAUCAACUCUAAACCCUAAACCCCAAAACAUCAACUCUAAACCCUAAACCCUAAACCUUCAACACUAAACCAUGAAACAUCAACUCUAAACCCUAAACUUCAACUCUAAACUCUAAAUCAUCAACACUAAACCUUAAACUAUCAACACCAAAUCCUAAACCUUAAAAACUAAACUCUAAACCCUAAACCCUAAAAAAUUAACCC